rnacentral:rRNA from 1 species
UGGGGAAUAUUGGACAAUGGGCGCAAGCCUGAUCCAGCCAUGCCGCGUGAGUGAUGAAGGCCCUAGGGUUGUAAAGCUCUUUCACCGGUGAAGAUAAUGACGGUAACCGGAGAAGAAGCCCCGGCUAACUUCGUGCCAGCAGCCGCGGUAAUACGAAGGGGGCUAGCGUUGUUCGGAUUUACUGGGCGUAAAGCGCACGUAGGCGGACUUUUAAGUCAGGGGUGAAAUCCCGGGGCUCAACCCCGGAACUGCCUUUGAUACUGGAAGUCUUGAGUAUGGUAGAGGUGAGUGGAAUUCCGAGUGUAGAGGUGAAAUUCGUAGAUAUUCGGAGGAACACCAGUGGCGAAGGCGGCUCACUGGACCAUUACUGACGCUGAGGUGCGAAACGCGUGGGGAGCAAACAGGAUUAGAUACCCUGGUAGUCCACGCCGU